UUGACUCGGAUGGCCUUUUGGAUUGGAAGACCCUGGGAAAGCGAGUCAGCUGACAGGACAGGAAGGUCUGCAGCGGGCCGUCUCUGUGGGCUACGGGUUGGCCAGACGCCCACUGCACAUCCACAGGUGGGUCAACAGGGAUGGUGAGGUCAGGCUGAUAAGUUUCACCUUCCAGUCCCGCGCGCUCAUAAAAAGCCCAACAAUCCCAACGAGAGAAAGAAAAAC